rnacentral:rRNA from 1 species
AACUGAUCAGCCAUGCCGCGUGUGUGAAGAAGGCCUUAUGGUUGUAAAGCACUUUAAGCGAGGAGGAGGCUACUUUAGUUAAUACCUAGAGAUAGUGGACGUUACUCGCAGAAUAAGCACCGGCUAACUCUGUGCCAGAGCCGCGGUAAUACAG